rnacentral:tRNA from 1 species
GUUCCCGUGGUGUAGUGGUUAUCACGUGCGCCUCUCACGCGCAAGGUCCCCGGUUAGAUCCCGGGCGGGAACA